rnacentral:rRNA from 1 species
CCUACGGGAGGCAGCAGUGGGGGAUAUUGCACAAUGGGGGGAACCCUGAUGCAGCGAAGCCGCGUGGGUGAAGAAGCGCCUAGGCGCGUAAAGCCCUGUCAGCAGGGAAGAAAAUGACGGUACCUGAAGAAGAAGCCCCGGCUAACUACGUGCCAGCAGCCGCGGUAAUACGUAGGGGGCAAGCGUUAUCCGGAUUUACUGGGUGUAAAGGGGGCGCAGACGGCGAUGCAAGCCAGGAGUGAAAGCCCGGGGCCCAACCCCGGGACUGCUCGUGGAACUGCGUGGCUGGAGUGGAGGAGGGGCAGGCGGAAUUCCUGGUGUAGCGGUGAAAUGCGUAGAUAUCAGGAGGAACACCGGUGGCGAAGGCGGCCUGCUGGACUGCAACUGACGUUGAGGCACGAAAGCGUGGGGAGCGAACAGGAUUAGAUACCCCUGUAGUC